ACUACCCCAACCACCCCCAUCUUUUCCUCCAACUCCUUUAACUUCCCAAUCCUACACACUUGUAUACAUACACACCCUACAACACUAUAGACACGGGUAGACAGCAAAAAAAUCAACAAGAAAACUGUGAGAGGAAAAACAAAAAAAGAAGAGUUAGAAACAAGGAACAAAAGGGAAAAAAAGAAGAAAAAGAAAAAACAAGAAACGGAUCAAGGAGAAAACAAGAAACGGUGAGGGGAAACAAGAAACAGUGAGAAACAAAAAUAGGAAAAAUGAAGCGGCGAGUUGAGUUUGGGAUUUUGUUCGAGUUUCUGGUGAUAUCGUUCGAAUCUCUCUUUUAAUUAUUUCAUCAUACAGGUAUGAAAGAUGGUAGCAACGCUGCAAUAAUGAUUCUCUACAAUGGAAGAUGAAACGUAUUAGGAAGAUACAAAAAUUGUCAAUUUGAAGGAAUAAUGUACGAUUCAAACACAAAAUAUAAUGGGUUGGUGAAGGCAAUUGCUAAGCAACUAGGUAUAGAUACAACGAUAAAAGAGUUGGAGAUUAAGUAUUUUGUUAGUAAUAGAUGCCCAUCGAUAAGUAUACACAAUGAUACAGGUGUCCAAGUUUAUCUAGAUCAAAAGAAAUAUAACAUGAAUUUAUUUUCAAAGUUUCCUUUAUGUAUCAUGUGUACCGAUAGGGCUAUUGAUGCUUUUGACUUUCAUACUGAUGCUCAAUGUAGUUACCAAUCAAAUAUAAAUAACAUGGAAAUUAACCCCGCUUUACGCAUCCGAUGCAAUUCAUUUGAGUGGCAUCAGUCCUAAUGUAGAAGAUAAUGUUUUGAAAUUCAAUGGAGUUGAAAUAAUUAGCAAUCCUCAAAAUGAGGUAGUUGAAGAAAGUUAGGACUAUAUUGAUAAGCACACACUUUCAGAAGUUA